UACGGAGGGAGCUAGCGUUGUUCGGAUAUACUGGGCGUAAAGCGCACGUAGGCGGCGCCGUAAGUCAGGGGUGAAAUCCCGGAGCUCAACUCCGGAACUGCCCUUGAAACUGCAGUGCUAGAAUUCUGGAGAGGCGAGUGGAAUUCCGAGUGUAGAGGUGAAAUUCGUAGAUAUUCGGAAGAACACCAGUGGCGAAGGCGGCUCACUGGCCCGAUACUGACGCUGAGGCACGAAAGCGUGGGGAGCAAACAGG
rnacentral:rRNA from 1 species